GACAUAUAGAAGACUUAUGUUACGGCCAUAAGAUAGGUAAAGUUACCGUAUGUUU
rnacentral:tRNA from 1 species